rnacentral:lncRNA from 1 species
GUAAAAUAGGAAUGAGCCAACCCAGCCUGACCUAAUACCCAUAUACGUAAGUUAAAAUAAUACUAAAAAUAAAUUCUUCCCCAUAAAAAGAUUAGUUCGGAAUGCAUAAGAUUAAAUUCUGACAAAACAAUAAAGAAAUAAAAGGCAUGAGGGAGCAUCCCCACUUAGUGAUCGGUCCGCUAGUUCAUGCAAAUUCAAAAAAAUUAUCACGGACGAGCCACAUACAGGAAAACUUGCACGUGUGGUUCUGGCCGGGCUUUCCUGAGGUAUCUAAUAACCUUAGAGCACUUGAAAUAAAAAUGCUAUCAAUUUGAAUAAAAUUUUUAAAAAGAGAAAUAAAAGAUAAAAGUAUCAUAUUUUGAAGUAUUUACUGUUCACUUUUAGUAUUAAUUUAAUUUAUAUAUAUGAGUAUUGGAUCGGGUGGGCUAGACCUGGUUGAAUCAUUCCUAUUUCAAUUGGAUUAUUAUUUAUCAAGCCGAAAAUAUAAAAUAAAAACCCACAAAAUAAGAAAAUACUACUAAAAUUUAUAUUUUUCAAUCACUAUAAUUUUUGUAUAAGUUAUUAAAAGUUUUAUAAUUUUUGUGUGAGAAAACGUAGUUAUGUGACUUUGAUGGAAAAAAGUCAUAGUUAUAUGAUUUUUUGUGUGAGAAAAGAAAGUUAUAUGACUUUUGUGAAAAAAGACCAUAGUUAUAUGACCAUUUGUGAAAUUUACCCCGUACAUUUAAUCAAUUAUGUGCCCAGCUAACAGUAAGCUUUUGCCAUUCCAAAAACAACAGCACAGUUGAAGUUCAUAUUACCUCACUUCCAAUCUACUGAGAUCAUUACAUUUCCCUGCAUUGCAUAGGAUGGUUCCAUGGAUCCUUCUUUUGAUCAGAAUUUAGUAGUUGUAUGUGAAGAACAAGCUUAAAAGCAAGUAGCAUUUUUCAAUGCUUUUGCAUUUCUUUGUGCAAAUAUUCCUUUUCUCCCGUGGAGUUACUGGCUUGUCUACGUUAUUGCUUCUGAUUUCUUGAGAACUACGGCCAUUGUAAUGCUAUGAGAGCUAGCUUGAGUAUGAUUACUGCUAUACGCUAAUGCUAUCCGCUCUUUCAGUGGCGGACGCACUGAUGUUCAAUUGAACCUGCUUCAUCAAAAAAAUAAUACUGUGUAUAUGUAUAAAUUAUGAUUAAAGCUGCGUAAAUUUUGUAUAAAUAUUUUAUUUGAACCUACUUGACAACUACUAUUGCACAAAAUCUUGGGUCCGUCACUGAGAUCUUUGCUUAUGUUGUCAAGGCAAAGGCAUAUAUCAGCUAUUUAAAUAGAAUAAAUAUACAAAUUGUUUACCAAUAUGAUUACUUCAAAGUUCAAACCAAUAAAGCCACAUGCAUUGAGAAAGCAGUACUUUUUAUAUAAGGCAAAGCACCAAAAAGCCCUAUUUAUUUUCGGUAUUAAGUUCCACUACCUAAAAAUUUCAGAUUUUUAUUCAUCAAUUCUUCAAAAUCUAUCACGUGCAGGAAUAAAUCAGAGUAACUCAAUAAGAGACUACCCAAGAAAAGAAGAAAUUAACAAAUUCCCAAUAAAUGAAGAGGGAAGGAAAAAUGCCCAGCAAGUUGUAUUACAAAUAAAGUCUAAUAAACUACAAAAAAACAUUUAGAAAAAGAAUAAUCACUAUGUAAACCUAGAAAUAAUAUAUCUUUUUAAAGCAUAGAUUGAGAUAUCAAGCUACAGAAGAAAGAAGCAGAACAAGAAAAUAACAGUCAUGGAAAUACCUUAGGAUGAAAUAGUAUGCAAACCUAGGAAAAUUAACUUAUGAAAAGAGAGAAAUUGAGCAAGAUCUUCUGAUAGAGAUUGACUGAGAGAAAGAUGAAGAGAGAGAGAGUGGGCAAGAGCUUCUGAAAGAGAUUGAGCAAGAGCGAAAGAAGAGAAUGUUUCAUAGUACACGUGUUUGAGAUGCAAUCCACGUGUUCGUAUGAGAAGGGCAUGAAAGAGACCCAAGUUCAUCAAUUGAAAAAGGCCCAAGUUUUUAAAAUACAAUUCAGAGAGCUUUUGGUACAACCUAUUAUUGCAGGGUUCUUCCCCCUUAACUUAUGGUAGAUAUACGGGCAAUGACAAGAUCAGCUACAAUAUUCUGUGUUAGGACUGGGAAAU